rnacentral:rRNA from 1 species
AUUUUGAACCGCAUGGUUCGAAAUUGAAAGGCGGCUUCGGCUGUCACUUAUGGAUGGACCCGCGUCGCAUUAGCUAGUUGGUGAGGUAACGGCUCACCAAGGCAACGAUGCGUAGCCGACCUGAGAGGGUGAUCGGCCACACUGGGACUGAGACACGGCCCAGACUCCUACGGGAGGCAGCAGUAGGGAAUCUUCCGCAAUGGACGAAAG